AAAGGGUGUGUAGGCGGUUGUGUUAGUCUUUUGUUAAAUUCUUCGGCUUAACCGGGGGUCUGCGAAGGAAACGGCACAACUAGAGGAUGCGAGAGGUGAAUGGAACUCAUGGAGUAGGGGUGAAAUCCGUUGAUAUCAUGGGGAACACCAAAUGCGAAGGCAAUUCACUGGCGCACUCCUGACGCUGAGACACGAAAGCGUAGGUAGCGAAUGGGAUUAGAUACCCGGGU
rnacentral:rRNA from 1 species